rnacentral:hammerhead_ribozyme from 1 species
AUCCAGCUGACGAGUCUCGAAUAGGACGAAACGUUCGUCCUGAAC